AUCAAAGGUUAUCUCCUGGGAGCCUGAAAAAAUGAGAUACAGAGAUGACACAGUCCUUCUACCCUUUAUUAUCAUGAGAAUGUGGUACUUAAAAUUCAUGCAACCAUUGAGACCUAAGGUUUCAAGAAACAGGGACCCACUCAGUUUACGGGAAAAAAGUGAAAAAGGCUAGAAAAGAGUCCCUUCUUCUACAUUCAUGUGUCUUGUCACCCAUCCGACAGCAGGCUCCCCUCCUUGCCACUGUGAAUGCUGUUAGUCUUCAUCUCUUUGUACUGUUCUUCUGCUACCAAUGAAACACUCUGAGUCACCAAUUCACACUCUUCAGGAGAGAUAAUAUGAUUAAUUUCCCUACUAAACUGUAAUUUAUAUUAGCAGAACCAGUUAACAUAAUUUGCAGGACAAUUGAAAAUGCAGAGCCCCUUGUUCAAAAGUUAUGGAGAUGUUCAAGAUGGCAAUAGCAGAACAUUAAACCAAGCAUGAGGACCUUCUGACAUGGGUGUUACAGAACUGCAUGGCUACACACCCAUAAAGCCAACCCUGUCCGUGAGGGUAGACCUAUAUUUGUUUUGCUAACCAAGGUAUCUCCUUGUCUAGUAUGUGCCCAUGACACUGAGCAAUCAGUUGGGCUUGAAAGCAAGACGUAGGUUGUUUGGUACUAUACCAUUUUAUGUGUGUGUGCACACAUACACACUAAUAAAUAAUACGUCCUUCCCUGCCCACUACCCUUUGUCUUCACUCAUAUUUCUCACAAAUUGCAUUCAGGCUCUAUUCUUCUAGAGAACCCAAACUAAAAGACUUGCCACCAGAGAGUCCUGCAGGCAUUCAGGAUGGGAUAUUAGAGUUGGGUUACUUAAUUAUCUUAAUGGCAAUAAAAGACCCACAGCAUGAUAUGUGGGUGGUAAGGGGACCACACAGUGAUACUGUAAUUACUGAGGCUUCCAGCCUAAGGUUAGUUGGGAUACAGUGCAGGUAGAAGGUGGAAAAUUGGAAUUGUGGUGGCUGUGGUGCUUGAACAGAAUGGGGACAGUAAUUGUGGAUGGCAUGGAGUCUGUUGAUGGAAUUGUAUACCUUCCAAAAAAAAUGAUACCUCAGGGCAGUCAGCUAUCAGACAUACUGAGAAAGGCAGAGGGCCUUUCUUGGCACUUUUUUUAAAAGACUGAUUUUCUGUAGCCUAAAACAAACUAUACUAAAAAUCAGGCUCAGGAUCUGAUUGUAAGGGCAGUACAGCUGAAAAAGCAUCUAAAUGCAUAGAUUUGCAGGGUCUUCUUUUUCCACCUCUGGUCCCUGAAAAGGAAAAGAGACCUAAGCCUUGGGAUGGGACAUUUGAGUAGAUGAGCCUGAGAAUAUUGGACCCAAUUCUCCCCUGAAUCUGUGGUACACUGGAAAAAGUUUAGCAGCUAGCUCUCAGGGAAGGGAAGUCAGGGAAGGACCAUUAUUUGUAGUAUUUGCCAAUUUCUGUUCAAUAAACACUCCCAAUUUAAUCAAUUUCAAGCUACCAACAUAAUAUCACUAAAUCCAGCAUUGAGAAGAUGCAUAUAGCUGGCUCCUGCAAGCUGAUAUGAGCCAGCUCUAGCCCACCAAUUAUAGCAGGAUCUCCCAUCUGGCAGAAGCAGCACCUCCAACUUGCCAGAGGAGAAUAGUCUCAUCUGUAAAUCUCGCAAUGACUCCUGAAGCAAGUGGCUCUCCAUAAGGACUUGGGGCCACUUGCCAGGGUAACAGUGUAUUGGAAAAGGGAAAUGCCUAGUCCCUAGGAACUGUUAGAUACAGGGUCUGAGCUGACAUUGAUCCAUCAUAAUUCUCCAGUUAGAGUGGGAACCAUAUUAUUAACAUUCAGCUCAAAAUAUUGUAUUUCCUUUGUGAUUUCUUUGUAUCAUGAAUUAUUUAGAAAUGCACUAUUUGAUUGUUCUAUUAAUUACUAAGAGAAGAGUGUUCUUUCUAGGACAGCACUAAACAUCAGAGGUAAAUUGGUGAAUUAGAUUUCAUCAAAGUUAAAAAUACCUGCUCAUGAAUGGACACUGCUAAGAUAAAACCUAGGCAAAAUCUAGACUGAGAAAAUAUUUGUAAUACUUAAUCUAUCAGAGGAGCUCUAUCCAGAAUAUAUAAAGCACUUCUCCAACUCAAUAAUAACAAGACAAGUAAAUUUCUUAAGUGGGCAAAAUGCAUGAAAAGACAUUUCCCAAAGAAAGAUAAAUGAGUGGACAAUAGCACAUGGAGAAAUGUUUAUUAUCAUUAGACAUUAGGGAGAUACAAAUUAAAACCAUAAUGCAUGCUUCAACAACUAGAAUAUCUCAAAUUAAAAAGACAGCAACAUCAAAUGUUAGCAGAUAUUUGAGGCAACCAAAACACUUAUUCAUUUAUGUGGGAAUAUGUGGUACAUAUUUUAAUACCCUCUUUGUUCCCUACCUAGUAUCCACACCCUUUGUAAUCCUCUCCCUUUGAGUGUGAGUGGGGUUUGUGAUAGAAUAUGGAAAUAGAAUGUAGCAAAAGUGAUGGAAUGUACAUGAUUAAAUGUAUUUUAUUAUGUGAUUGUAUUUUGUAAGAUUGUAGUACUCAUAUUACUGGAGUCUCUUGCUCCUUUGCUGGCUUUGAUAACGUGAUGGCCACAUUAAGGAACCCUACAUGGUAAGGAACUACUAACAGCUUCUAGAAGCGAGGGCAACCUCCAGUUGACAGCCAGCAAGAAAUUGAAGCCCUUGGUCAUACAACCACAGGACAUGAAUCCUACCAACAAUAUGUGAAUCUGGAAGUGGAACCUUCACCAGUUGAGCCUCCAUGUGAGAACACCAUGUGAUCAAUACCUUGAUUGCAGCCUUACAAAGGAUCAGCUAAGCUGUGCCCAGACUCCUGACCCAUAGAAACUGGGAGGUAAUAAAUGUGUGUAUUGCUGUAA